ensembl:rRNA 5S_rRNA 5S ribosomal RNA
GUCUAUGGCCAUACUAACCUGAUCCUGGACGCUAAGAAGGGAUGGUCCUGGCCAAAACUUGAAUAGGAGUCCUUCUGGGAAUACCAGGUGCUGUAGGUU